AGUUGUGUUGUGGCUGUA
rnacentral:miRNA from 1 species